rnacentral:rRNA from 1 species
AGUGAACGCUGGCGGUAGGCCUAACAUAUGCAAGUCGAACGGCAGCACAGUAAGAGCUUGCUCUUACGGGUGGCGAGUGGCGGACGGGUGAGGAAUACAUCGGAAUCUACUUUUUCGUGGGGGAUAACGUAGGGAAACUUACGCUAAUACCGCAUACGACCUACGGGUGAAAGCAGGGGACCUUCGGACCUUGCGCGAUUGAAUGAGCCGAUGUCGGAUUAGCUAGUUGGCGGGGUAAAGGCCCACCAAGGCGACGAUCCGUAGCUGGUCUGAGAGGAUGAUCAGCCACACUGGAACUGAGACACGGUCCAGACUCCUACGGGAGGCAGCAGUGGGGAAUAUUGGACAAUGGGCGCAAGCCUGAUCCAGCCAUACCGCGUGGGUGAAGAAGGCCUUCGGGUUGUAAAGCCCUUUUGUUGGGAAAGAAAAGCAGCAGGUUAAUACCCCGCUGUUCUGACGGUACCCAAAGAAUAAGCACCGGCUAACUUCGUG